rfam:Triticum aestivum genome assembly, contig: Triticum_aestivum_CS42_TGACv1_scaffold_472853_6AL
AUAAUACUUCCUCCGUCCGGAAUUGCAUGGCGCUCAACUGGAUGUGUCUAGACGUAUUUUAGUGCUAGAUACAUCCGCUUGAGCGUCAAGUAAUUCCGGAUGGAGGGAGUGUAAC